rnacentral:rRNA from 1 species
UGGGGAAUAUUGCACAAUGGGGCGCAAGCCUGAUGCAGCAACGCCGCGUGAGGGAAGACGGUUUUCGGAUUGUAAACCUCUGUCUUUGGUGACGAAGAAGUGACGGUAGCCAAGGAGGAAGCCACGGCUAACUACGUGCCAGCAGCCGCGGUAAUACGUAGGGAGCAAGCGUUAUCCGGAAUUACUGGGUGUAAAGGGAGUGUAGGCGGGACUGUAAGUCAGAUGUGAAAUAUGCCGGCUCAACUGGCAGACUGCAUUUGAAACUGUGGUUCUUGAGUGAAGUAGAGGUAAGCGGAAUUCCUGGUGUAGCGGUGAAAUGCGUAGAUAUCAGGAGGAACAUCAGUGGCGAAGGCGGCUUACUGGGCUUUAA